UGGGGAAUUUUGGACAAUGGGCGCAAGCCUGAUCCAGCCAUGCCGCGUGCGGGAAGAAGGCCUUCGGGUUGUAAACCGCUUUUGUCAGGGAAGAAAUCUUCUGAGUUAAUACCUCGGGAGGAUGACGGUACCUGAAGAAUAAGCACCGGCUAACUACGUGCCAGCAGCCGCGGUAAUACGUAGGGUGCAAGCGUUAAUCGGAAUUACUGGGCGUAAAGCGUGCGCAGGCGGUUUUGUAAGACAGAGGUGAAAUCCCCGGGCUCAACCUGGGAACUGCCUUUGUGACUGCAAGGCUUGAGUGCGGCAGAGGGGAUGGAAUUCCGCGUGUAGCAGUGAAAUGCGUAGAUAUGCGGAGGAACACCGAUGGCGAAGGCAAUCCCCUGGGCCUGCACUGACGCUCAUGCACGAAAGCGUGGGGAGCAAAACAGGAUUAGAUACCCUGGUAGUCCACGCCCUAAACGAUGUCAACUGGUUGUUGGGAAGGUUCCUUCUCAGUAACGUAGCUAACGCGUGAAGUUGACCGCCUGGGGAGUACGGCCGCAAGGUUGAAACUCAAAUGAAUUGACGGGGU
rnacentral:rRNA from 1 species